rnacentral:tRNA from 1 species
GUUGCUUUGGCCGAGUGGUUAAGGCGUGUGCCUGCUAAGUACAUGGGGUUUCCCCCGCAGUUUGAAUAUCUCAGGCAACG